UGGGGAAUAUUGCACAAUGGGCGCAAGCCUGAUGCAGCGACGCCGCGUGGGGGAUGACGGCCUUCGGGUUGUAAACCUCUUUCAGCUAUGACGAAGCGCAAGUGACGGUAGUAGCAGAAGAAGGACCGGCCAACUACGUGCCAGCAGCCGCGGUAAUACGUAGGGUCCGAGCGUUGUCCGGAAUUACUGGGCGUAAAGAGCUCGUAGGUGGUUUGUCGCGUUGUUCGUGAAAUCUCACAACUCAAUUGU
rnacentral:rRNA from 1 species